rnacentral:rRNA from 1 species
CUACGGGUCGCACCAGUGAGGAAUAUUGCACAAUGGGGGGAACCCUGAUGCAGCAACGCCGCGUGGAGGAUGACGCAUUUCGGUGUGUAAACUCCUUUUAUAUGUCAAGAAAAUGACGGUAGCAUAUGAAUAAGCACCGGCUAACUCCGUUCCAGCAGCCGCGGUAAUACGGAGGGUGCAAGCGUUACUCGGAAUCACUGGACGUAAAGGACGCGUAGGCGGGUUGGAAAGUCAGGUGUGAAAUCCUACAGCUUAACUGUAGAACUGCACUUGAAACUUCUAAUCUAGAGUAUGGGAGGGGGAGAUGGAAUUAGUGGUGUAGGGGUAAAAUCCGUAGAUAUCACUAGGAAUACCUAAAGCGAAGGCGAUCUCCUGGAACAUUACUGACGCUAAGGCGUGAAAGCGUGGGGAGCAAACAGGAUUAGAUACCCUCGUAGUC